GGCCCCAUUACCUUCAGUAGCUUAGGGCCUCAUCAGAUGUUUUGUUUUGUGCAUAUAUACACAAAACAAAACAUCUGAUGAGGCCCUAAGCUACUGAAGGUAAUGGGGCC